GGGCGCAUAGUGUAAAGGAUAUGAUGCUCUUUUUCUGGACAUCCUCCAAAUCUUUGCCAUUGCAGGAGUUUUCGGUUCGAAUCCGGAUGGGCCCA